AGCAGCCGCGGUAAUUCCAGCUCCAAUAGCGUAUAUUAAAGUUGUUGCAGUUAAAAAGCUCGUAGUUGAAUUUCGGGAUCAAUAUGUUGGUCGUGCCUUGGUACGUACUAUCUUAUUGGUUUCUCCCUUCUGACGAACCAUGAUGUCAUUAAUUUGGUGUCAUGGGGAAUCAGGAUUGUUACUUUGAAAAAUUAGAGUGUUUAAAGCAGGCUCACGCUUGAAUAUAUUAGCAUGGAAUAAUGAAAUAGGACGUUUGAUUCUAUUUUGUUGGUUUCUAGGAUCGAUGUAAUGAUUAAUAGGGAUAGUUGGGGGCAUUAGUAUUCAAUUGUCAGAGGUGAAAUUCUUGGAUUUAUUGAAGACUAACUACUGCGAAAGCAUUUGCCAAGGAUGUUUUCAUUAAUCAAGAACGAAGUUAGGGGAUCGAAGACGAUCAGAUACCGUCGUAGUCUU
rnacentral:rRNA from 1 species